rnacentral:lncRNA from 1 species
GAAUAAAUAUUUUGGUUUUGGCCAUGUGAUUUUGGGAUGCCUAUUGAAUAAAUGAAGAAGGGUUUGAACAUGUGGUUGGAUACAUGAAUUUGGAGUUUAGCAGAUAAUUCAGUUGCUCAUGAUAUGCUAAUUAUAAUGCAUUUCCAUGCUAAAAUACACUCCCAACAGUGCCAUGACAGUUUAUAAAUGCCAUGGUAUCUCUGGGAAGUGUUAUGCUACACUCAGAUGGAACUACAUUUGAGGGUUUAAUGUAUCAAUUGGCAGUCUCAAGGAACACUGAUACUUGGAGGUUCAGACCAUUUUCCCAAACUGCCCAUGUUUCAUCAAUGUGCAAUGGGAACAAUACAGGUAGUGGCAUGGUAAGCACUAGCUCCACUUUGGUAAACAGACUGUAAAAGUGAUAGGAGUUCAUCUAUGGCUAAUAAAUCAGGACAACCUAGAAACUCGCCAUCAUGAAGCACAAUACUUGUUAACCCAAAAAGGGACACUAGAGAGAGCUAUCUUCCAGGAAAGAAGCUGUAACUGGAAAGAAGCCUGGAGAGACAACAG